GGUUGCGCAAUUCUAGGCAGGCCCAUUUUUAGUGCGUAGCCUAAUGGACCCAAGUUAGUGCGUCAUUAUGACUUUUUGGUGUCUCACCAUAACUCUGACCCUUCCCCUAACAUUAACCCAACAACACAAGGGUCCCAGAGAUGCAGUCCUGAACCUGCAGCCUUUGACUCUGCAGACACUUUAUAUUCAGCUUACCUGUUUGCUGUUCUUCACGAGUUUAUCCGUGAGUUGGAUUAAUCCGAGACUUUGGGUGGCUUCUUUGUAAAAUGUUGCUGGUAAUGAAGGCCACUGAAUGAAUGACUUGAAGGAUACAUGCAAGCUAAAAGGACAAGGUUGCAGGAUAGGUCAACUUCCACAGCCUGUCAGGACUUCCUCAGGAUCAUUGUUUCAGAAGCAAUGAGGCGACGCGGACGACGAUGACUGAGGAUUAACUCCAGACGUCCUAAAUGGGAGUUCAUCGUGCCUUGGAGCUGCAGAUAAGCCCCAAUAAAUUUCCCCAAAUCAACUACAGCAAGAAGUUCAAUGAGUUAAAGUUCAGAAUCAC